CAGUUUUUCCUUUCAUCUUAAAGCCCAACACUCACAUAGCUUGCUGCAUAAUCUACCCAUCGCUAUGUAAGAGGACCGUCCUGGUUAUCAUUCAUCAGAAUGACCGUCCAAGGCACAGAACAUCCAACAUUAGCUAUGAAUUGAAUUGCUGCAAGAGAGGUAAGGGUGCGCUCUAAUUUAGUACCCACAGGCCACAACUGUCUUAAUUGCUAAAGACAUGCUUAUUUCAGCCAUGGUCAUCAUCAUCGGCCCUGGUAAGAACUCCAUCUGUUCAUCACACAGUAGCAUCCAUCCAUCCAUCAGACUGGCCAUAGUGGUGAGUAACUUAGACAGUCUCGGGAGCUGCUCAAACCUGGUGUCAGCCGACCAAACCUCGUCACAGACAGACACAUCAGAACAGAACUCUACGGUUCCCAGCCCACGCCACAACCAAAUCCAAGGCAAUGGAAUGGCAGGCUGGCAGCACC
rnacentral:lncRNA from 1 species